rnacentral:ribozyme from 1 species
AGCGAAAAAAAAAGGGUAAAAGGGUUGGAUCCGACGCCUCUAGAAGGCUACUAUAGGCUCUCCUUCUCAACUCCUACUCAAUACGUCCACGUCGUGCAGAACGGUAACUUGUUGCUCAGAUCCAAGCUUGGGUACACGGGGAAACCCAACCCCUCGGGCGGAUGAGCGGCAAGGCAGAAUUGAGAGGU